rnacentral:rRNA from 1 species
AUUGAACGCUGGCGGCAGGCCUAACACAUGCAAGUCGAGCGGAUGAAGGGAGCUUGCUCCUGGAUUCAGCGGCGGACGGGUGAGUAAUGCCUAGGAAUCUGCCUGGUAGUUGUGGAUAACGUCCGGAAACGGGCGCUAAUACCGCAUACGUCCUGAGGGAGAAAGUGGGGGAUCUUCGGACCUCACGCUAUCAGAUGAGCCUAGGUCGGAUUAGCUAGUUGGUGGGGUAAAGGCCUACCAAGGCGACGAUCCGUAACUGGUCUGAGAGGAUGAUCAGUCACACUGGAACUGAGACACGGUCCAGACUCCUACGGGAGGCAGCAGUGGGGAAUAUUGGACAAUGGGCGAAAGCCUGAUCCAGCCAUGCCGCGUGUGUGAAGAAGGUCUUCGGAUUGUAAAGCACUUUAAGUUGGGAGGAAGGGCAGUAAGUUAAUACCUUGCUGUUUUGACGUUACCAACAGAAUAAGCACCGGCUAACUUCGUG